rnacentral:lncRNA from 1 species
GGAGACCUGACAAUUUCAUGCAACGCAGGAGACUGAACCGGGUCCUUUUGCUACCGAGGCAUUGUUGAGAUAGUUGGCAAAACUGGCGCCAGGUCUGUGGAGUGGAAGGCUCUUCAACCUGUAAAAUGGGAGGGUAGUGCCUACUUCACCAUAGCCGUGGGGAGAAGCCCGUGAAAACUUCCUGAGGGUCACCAGCCACAUUUGAAGCGAGCAGCUACCGGAUUGGAUAGUGCAGCCCUGCCUCCAACACGUUCACCUGACCCACGGGCAACCGAGGUCCAAGGAGGGCGUGGUCUGCCCAAGGUCACUGAGCUGAGUGGGACCAGGACCCAGGUCCCCUGACUCCAUCACAGCUGUUCCGCUCCACUUCACUGCCUGCCCUAUUUUCAUCAGGACAGCAAGCAGCGACCCAAGAAGCAGCAGUUUCAGCAGUGGAGUCAGAAGGCACAGCCUAACAACAUAUUCCUGCUCAGACAGUAAACUUCUUAGCGUUUCUUUAUUUUAUGUGAAUCUUGCCUGUGACCAUUCUCCACCACUGGAUGAUAUACAUAUGUGUGGAAAGAGUGCAUAAACGACUUUAGCAAGCAUCUAUUGAGCACCUACUGUGUUUCCAGCCCUGCACCUGGCCUUAAAGAUACGGAGAUGAAGACAGCCCAGCUCUGGUCCUCGGGCAGCUCACCUCUGGUCCAGGGAGGGCAGAGUGGUCAGCCCCUCACUUAGGGUGUGCAGAGGGUGGCGUGGGGUCUGAUACAGAGCCGUGCAGAAGUGCUGUGGGAGUGAGCAGAUUGCAUGCCUAGUGUAUGAAAACCCCAGCAAGCAGCCUCCUGGGCUGGCGGAACCAGCUGGAAGGGACCUUGGGAAAAUCCGUGGGGAGCCCACAUGUGGAGCUGCUGGGCCUCGGCCUGUGGGUGUGUGGUGUUUGGGUAACAGCCCAAAGGCUAGGAGGGUUUGUUUUUGUUGUUGAUUGGAACUGAGAGGGGCUAUUGUCAGGCAAAGCCUCAGCUUAUUGGUGUGUGGUGUUGGCUCAGGACUGUGGGGUGGGUACUUGCUGGGGUGCAGUUGCUGUCAGUAACAUCCCUUCAUGGAGCACCCAUUGCAGCAUCCCUCUCCCCCUCCUUCACACAUGUACACACUUGCACGCUCCCACACACACGUGUGCAUCGCCAGUUAUAAAAUUUAAUUUGCAGAGCCCAGGACAAAAUGAAAAUGCAAAGUCCCUUGAUCAAAAGUUAAGAAUUUUAAGGCCGCGACAGUAGAUUGUUUAGACAAGCACAGGGGCCUUCUAAUGGGCCCCGGGUGGCUGCACAGGACACACGUCGGAGAAGCUGGCCCUGCACACACACAGACACACAAGGUCCCCCACUGUUUGCACUGGCCUGUAUCUUCCCUUCUCUCCACCCACUGUGAGGGAGGCCAAAGGCAUGCCAGCUAGUGCUUUAGAGGUUUAUUAUCUCAUGUCAUCUGUCAACAUCCGAUGUCAAUAAUGGCUAUCAUGCCCACUCUCCAUAUGAGGAAGUGAAGAUGAGAAGGAAGAUCUGGGAUUCGAACCCAAAACUUACCUGAGUCCAAAGCCCAGGCUUGUUCCAUGCACACCCUGCCCCCACACCACACAAAGAGGAAUGAGCCACCUCCUUUUUUGUGUUAUUUCUGAUGUUUUUCUUUCUGUUUCUUCCUUCCUUCCUUCCUUCCUUCCAUCCUUCCUUCCUUCCCCCCUUCCUUCCUUCCUUCUUUCUUUCUUUCUUUCUUUCUUUCUUUCUUUCUUUCUUUCUUUCUUUCUUUCUUUCUUUCUUUCCUCCCUCUCUCUCUCUCUCUCUUUCUUUCUUUCUUUUCUUUCCUUUUGAGACAGAGUCUCACUCUUUCACCCAGGCUGGAGGGCAGUGGAGCAAUCUCGGCUCACUGCAACCUCCACCUCCUCAGUUCAAGUGAUUCU